rnacentral:lncRNA from 1 species
UUUACAGACUCCCACCACUUUACAGACUCCGCACUUACAGACUCCACACUUUACAGACUCCACACUUUACAGACUCCACACUUUACAGACUCCACACUUACAGACUCCACACUUUACAGACUCCACACUUACAGACUCCCACUUACAGACUCCACACUUUACAGACUCCACACUUUACAGACUCCGCACUUUACAGACUCCGCACUUUACAGACUCCACACUUUACAGACUCCGCACUUUACAGACUCCGCACUUUACAGACUCCACUUUACAGACUCCACUUUACAGACUCCCACUUUACAGACUCCGCACUUUACAGACUCCCACUUUACAGACUCCACACUUUACAGACUCCGCACUUUACAGACUCCCACUUUACAGACUCCGCACUUUACAGACUCCACACUUUACAGACUCCACUUUACAGACUCCGCACUUUACAGACUCCGCACUUUACAGACUCCGCACUUUACAGACUCCGCACUUUACAGACUCGCACUUUACAGACUCACACUUUACAGACUCCGCACUUUACAGACUCCGCACUUUACAGACUCACACUUUACAGACUCGCACUUUACAGACUCGCACUUUACAGACUCCACUUUACAGACUCGCACUUUACAGACUCCGCACUUUACAGACUCCGCACUUUACAGACUCCGCACUUUACAGACUCCGCACUUUACAGACUCCGCACUUUACAGACUCCGCACUUUACAGACUCCGCACUUUACAGACUCCGCACUUUACAGACUCCGCACUUUACAGACUCCGCACUUUACAGACUCGCACUUUACAGACUCGCACUUUACAGACUCGCACUUUACAGACUCGCACUUUACAGACUCGACUUUACAGACCACUUACAGACUCUACACUUUACAGACUCUACACUUUACAGACUCACACUUUACAGACUCACACUUUACAGACUCACACUUUACAGACUCACACUUUACAGACUCGCACUUUACAGACUCGCACUUUACAGACUCGCACUUUACAGACUCGCACUUUACAGACUCGCACUUUACAGACUCCGCACUUUACAGACUCCGCACUUUACAGACUCGCACUUUACAGACUCGCACUUUACAGACUCCACUUUACAGACUCCGCACUUUACAGACUCGCACUUUACAGACUCGCACUUUACAGACUCGCACUUUACAGACUCGCACUUUACAGACUCGCACUUUACAGACUCUACACUUUACAGACUCACACUUUACAGACUCUGCACUUUACAGACUCGCACUUUACAG